rnacentral:rRNA from 1 species
CCCUUAGAUGUCCGGGGCCGCACGCGCGCUACACUGAAGGAAUCAGCGUGGCUUUCUCCCUGACCCGAAAGGGUUGGGAAACCCGUUGAAUCUCCUUCGUGAUAGGGAUUGGGGCUUGAAAUUGUUCCCCAUGAACGAGGAAUUCCCAGUAAGCGCGAGUCAUAAGCUCGCGUUGAUUACGUCCCUGCCCUUUGUACACACCGCCCGUCGCUCCUACUGAUUGAGUGUCUCGGUGAAUUCUUUGAUCUUCUGUCGAUUCAGUUCACUGAUCCGACGGUGGAAAGUUGAAUGAACUUCGUCACUUAGAGGAAGGAGAAGUCGUAACA